rnacentral:rRNA from 1 species
GACGAACGCUAGCGGCGGGCUUAACACAUGCAAGUCGAGCGGAAAGGCCUCGUUCGGGGGGUCCUCGAGUGGCGAACGGGCGAGUAACACGUGAGUAACUUGCCCUUGACCUUGGGAUAACUUCAGGAAACUGGGGCUAAUACACGAUAAGCGCACCCGCUGCAUGGUGGGGGUUGGAAAGUUUCGGCGGAUGGGGGUGGAGUCGGGGCGUAUGGGCUCGGUGGAGGGGGAGUGGGGUACAAAGGCGUUGACGGGUAGCCGGCCUGAGAGGGUGAGCGGCGACAUUGGGAAUGAGACUAGGGCCAGACGCCGUCGGGAGGAAGCAGUGGGGAGUAUUGCCCAAUGGGUGGAAGCCUGAUGCAACAACGCCGUGUGCGGGAGUACGGCCCUGGGGUUGUGAGCCGCUUUCGCUCAUGACGAAGCUUUGUGUGACGGUAGUGGGUAAAGAAGCACCGGCUAACUACGUG